GAUUUUAACUGAAAAAGUCAUCAACAANAAAGUUGUAUAACUCAUUAAUAUCUAUAACUUUUAUUUUGGUCAUUUCUUCAUCCGAUAAAGUGAUAGUAACAUUAUUCACAAAAUUUAUAUAUAUCUCUUAUAGUUUAUAAAACUAGAUAUGUAAAAUUUGUUAACAAUAUUACUAACACUUUGUCGGAUGAAGAAAUGACCCAAAUAAAAAUUAUAGAUAUUGAUGAGCUAUGCAACUUUGUUGUUGAUGACUUUUUCAAUUGAAGUU
rnacentral:pre_miRNA from 1 species